ACAACAUAAAUGCGGAAAGCGCUGCCAACAACAGUAACUGUAAUUAAUAUAAAUAAUAUAUGCAAAAUCAAUUAAUUCAUUACACAGCUUAAGUGAAAGGUACGGGAUACAAUCAAUCAAUUUCGGUCACAGAUAAAUAGCUCUCAUUUCUUUUAUCAUAGAAAGUCGCUUUGAUUACACUUCCUUGUUAUUUCGACAGCAAAUAUUAGAACUAGUUGAGCGUAUGACAGCGAGUAUUUGGAUGUUUCAAGGUUGGAGAUGCUUAAAACUCAGCUGAAAAAUAGCCCAUCUAAAUGCCUGAAUUUAGAUCUAGAUAAGCUUGCAUAGUGAUACAACAGUAAGAGGUUCGGGUGUUUCGUACUAAACUAAGCUCAUUGACCAGCUUGACUAUUUGGCGACUUUCUAGACUUCAAUUGUUGUGGAUUGAGUUGAAGAAUAACACAUUCAUAUGUUAAAAUCUGGAUCUUGAUAUGACUGGGCAAUGACAAAACAAGUAUUUAAUAUAUCAUAAGAACUUAUAUUAUUUUGGAAAUAUCUAAGCAUUGUUACUAUUGAUCAAAUGUGAAGUUCUAGAUUUGGUAUGCAUCAUUCUUAGUCUGGCAAAACUUGACCAAUACCUAUUGGUGUGUCGAAGGGACAUCAAUAUAUAAAUCGAUAAGCAACAUGAAGAGUAGGCAACAAGUCUCAGUCAGCUUGAUUUCAGCCAAGUCAGAAUAUCCAGCAUCCAUCAACGAGUUUUGAACUUUCAUUCCAACAAUGUCAAUUAUAUCAAUUUCUCUUCGUGUUGAUUAAAUAGCAGGCAUAUGUCUGCUAUAGACAUAUGUGUUUAUAUCUUUCUGUAUAGAAAGACGAACUAUAUAUAAUGCAUUCUUAUAUGAACUUUAUGUUGUGUCUAAUAUGAUGCAAUCACCGAAACGAAUCUAAAUAUUUUUUAGCAUUAUAUGUUGAGUUGUUGUGAGAAUGGAUGAUCAUCAAUCACUCAUCUUCAAUUAAAAAUGCACUUAAAGCGGCAUUUGGAGAAGGUGAUGUUGAGAUUGAUUGUGUCUUCAAUGGAGGGAACAAGUUGAGGUAGCACUAUUCGCAUUUGACGUUAGAGACUGGAGAGGAAGUCGACCAGUAGAGAGCUUAGAGAGAAGUGUUGUUCAUACUGAAACCCGAUAACGGAUUAUUAUGACAAUUAAGUAAGUAAAUUGAGUGCAUAUCACAAAAAACUCUGGCAACUUUUAACAUUAUAUAACGAUACGUAUAUCUAAUGUAUUAAUACGUUUU